rnacentral:ncRNA from 1 species
GAGUUUGAUCCUGGCUCAGGACGAACGCUGGCGGCGUGCCUAAUACAUGCAAGUCGAACGCUUUUUCUUUCACCGGAGCUUGCUCCACCGAAAGAAAAAGAGUGGCGAACGGGUGAGUAACACGUGGGUAACCUGCCCAUCAGAAGGGGAUAACACUUGGAAACAGGUGCUAAUACCGUAUAACACUAUUUUCCGCAUGGAAGAAAGUUGAAAGGCGCUUUUGCGUCACUGAUGGAUGGACCCGCGGUGCAUUAGCUAGUUGGUGAGGUAACGGCUCACCAAGGCAACGAUGCAUAGCCGACCUGAGAGGGUGAUCGGCCACACUGGGACUGAGACACGGCCCAGACUCCUACGGGAGGCAGCAGUAGGGAAUCUUCGGCAAUGGACGAAAGUCUGACCGAGCAACGCCGCGUGAGUGAAGAAGGUUUUCGGAUCGUAAAACUCUGUUGUUAGAGAAGAACAAGGAUGAGAGUAGAACGUUCAUCCCUUGACGGUAUCUAACCAGAAAGCCACGGCUAACUACGUGCCAGCAGCCGCGGUAAUACGUAGGUGGCAAGCGUUGUCCGGAUUUAUUGGGCGUAAAGCGAGCGCAGGCGGUUUCUUAAGUCUGAUGUGAAAGCCCCCGGCUCAACCGGGGAGGGUCAUUGGAAACUGGGAGACUUGAGUGCAGAAGAGGAGAGUGGAAUUCCAUGUGUAGCGGUGAAAUGCGUAGAUAUAUGGAGGAACACCAGUGGCGAAGGCGGCUCUCUGGUCUGUAACUGACGCUGAGGCUCGAAAGCGUGGGGAGCGAACAGGAUUAGAUACCCUGGUAGUCCACGCCGUAAACGAUGAGUGCUAAGUGUUGGAGGGUUUCCGCCCUUCAGUGCUGCAGCAAACGCAUUAAGCACUCCGCC